rnacentral:rRNA from 1 species
GACGAACGCUGGCGGCGUGCUUAACACAUGCAAGUCGAACGGUAAGGCCCUUCGGGGUACACGAGUGGCGAACGGGUGAGUAACACGUGGGUGCUCUGCCCUGCACUUCGGGAUAAGCCUGGGAAACUGGGUCUCAUACCGGAUAGGACCACUGCCUGCAUGGGUGGUGGUGGAAAGCUUUUGCGGUGUGGGAUGGGCCCGCGGCCUAGCAGCUUGUGGGUGGGGUGAUGGCCUACCAAGGCGACGACGGGUAGCCGGCCUGAGAGGGUGACCGGCCACACUGGGACUGAGAUACGGCCCAGACUCCUACGGGAGGCAGCAGUGGGGAAUAUUGCACAAUGGGCGCAAGCCUGAUGCAGCGACGCCGCGUGAGGGAUGACGGCCUUCGGGUUGUAAACCUCUUUCAGCACCGACGAAGCGCAAGUGACGGUAGGUGCAGAAGAAGGACCGGCCAACUACGUGCCAGCCGCCGCCGUAA